rnacentral:rRNA from 1 species
GACGAACGCUGGCGGCGUGCUUAACACAUGCAAGUCGAGCGGUAAGGCCCUUUCGGGGGUACGACGAGCGGCGAACGGGUGAGUAACACGUGGGUGACCUGCCCUCCAGCUCUGGGAGUAAGCCCGGGAAACGUAGGGUCUAAUACUGGAUAUGACUCCAUGACGCAUGUUGUGGGGUGGAAAGCCUUGUGCGGCUGAGGAUGGGCCCGCGGCCUAUCAGCUUGUU